CAUCCCUAGGCAGCUGAAUUUCAGCUCAUGGCUGAACAUAAUGGGGAAUCAAUGUUUGGCCAUUUCUGUCCAAUACAGGACCCCUCUGUGGGCAGUCCUUACACCUGAGCUCCCUGUUGGGCUGACAGAGACUAUCUCAGAGCUAUAACCCAAUCUAUACUUCCACCCAAUCCUCCCUCUUUCCUCUCUUCCACCGGAGUUACUAGGCCUCUUCCUCUUUUCUUUACUUUUCACAGGCACUUACCCCCAAUGCACCUCCCAUACUUCCAGUUCUGCAAUGGCAUUGACUCCCCAGAGGACUCAAAUUCAUUCCUGUGAUGAAUUCAGAGUCCCCAGACCAAAAGAAAUAUCUACUAGCAGCAAGAAGCAUUUCGGCUGUCAAGUGGUGAUACUCUAUCAGGGCAGCUUUCACAAAAAAGCGUUAGAGAUGCAGCGUGACAACAUCAGCCAAUGACGUCUUCUUGGGGCUCCUUUCUCCGUCUCUAUUUUUUUCUUAAGAAAGACAGUAAAAUUCUUCUGCGCAAUCAAAGGUGACCUCAUCCUUCUAUUCAUUUGAUAUUUUCAUCUAAGAAUGAUGGUUAGAGUAUUGAAGUGUGUUAUGAAGCACUGGAAUGGGAGCCAGGAAUUUUGAUUUGUUUCUUGUCUUUGCAUCUGUGGGAUAAUUUUAGGCAAAUCACCUGUGUCUGAGCUUCCACAGUGAUAACAUGAGGGAAGCAGCAUUCAUUUUCCUUUCACCUUUGGGAAGUUGGGCUGGAGAUGUACACAGUAUAUGUGUGUACAUGUGAGAGCAUGGAUGUGUGAUGGUGUGUUCUGUGGGGAGUUCAAGAAGGUUAGAGCGAUACCUAAACCUUAUGUCAUUAUGUGAUAAUUUCCAUGAUUUUUAUUUUGCUGUAGGGUAGCUUAUAAGAAUGAUUUGAUCUGCAGUUUUCUGAACAUGGGCUGGGUUAGUGAGCCUCUGCUUACCUUAGAAUGUUCCUGUUUGAAAGUUUCAAAGCAACUGGAUGAUCAAAUUUUAUUCAUUGCCCCUACAUGUUGAUACUUAGGAGCCCUUUACAUUUCUGUCAACUGUGAUUUAUGUAUUUUAAUUGUAAAAUUUUGUGGUAAGAUCUUACCUGAGUGUCCUUGACUGCCAUUAUUUUAUACGGAAGGAGACAGAGAGGGCUCUUGCAAUUCUGUGAUUUGACCAAAUAAGCAGUGCCAGUGCUGGGAUUGGGAAACACAUCAUGUUUUGGGGGAAUCCUCUUCAGGUUGCUUCUCUACUCAGGAAUUGUUCGCUUUAUCCUCAUCAGCUACCAUCAACAGCUACUCCCUCAAUCAUCCAGGAAGUGUGUCCAGUCUCUCUCUAACUUUCCAUUCUCCAGACUGAACUUUCCUACUUCUUAAGGCGAAGGCAUUAUAAAUAUCUGAUUCUUCUUUUUUUUCUCUCAGAUACUCUAGCAGAAUCUGUGGGUGCC
rnacentral:lncRNA from 1 species